UAAAAUACUUUCGGGCUUGUCAUAAAAUUGAAAGGAAUGAGAAACACACAUCGAAUUAUUUUGAAGUAAAUUUUAAAAGUACAAACAUUAUGAAGUACAAAAAAUUAUACGCUUAUAGUUAACAUGAUUAUUUUCUUAAACUUAAUUGUUACACGAACGAGAAAGAACAAUAAUUUUCAACACAUUUCAAAAGUAGAGGUAUGCUGUUUGGAGGCACUGGACAAUCAAUGUCAGAAACGCAAGGAAUGCUAGCUGCAUUGUCAAAUAAGAAAAAAGAAAUGUUAGUAAAAGAUGAUAUAAUAUUUUGUAUAAGAUAAAGUAGAAAUUUUAAUAUGGUGUGAAUAAAAUGACAUACUUCUAAUGGUUAGAACAAAAGGUAGAGAAAGAAAGAUGACCAAAGCAAGAAACAUGAUAAUUUGAGUCAUACUUCUUUUCCUUUGCAUGCAAUUACUAUAAUUUUCUUAUGGUUUUAUAGGUACAAAUUUCAUGGUUGUUAAAUUAGGUAGUUUUUACCACUUAGAAAUUUCAAGAAGCCAUUUAUAUAUGAAUUAGCUAUUUGUA
rnacentral:lncRNA from 1 species